UACAGAGGUCUCAAGCGUUGUUCGGAUUCAUUGGGCGUAAAGGGUGCGUAGGUGGUGCCGUAAGUCAGGUGUGAAAUCUCGGGGCUCAACCCCGAAACUGCACUUGAUACUGCGGUGCUCGAGUACUGGAGAGGAGAUUGGAAUUUACGGUGUAGCAGUGAAAUGCGUAGAUAUCGUAAGGAAGACCAGUGGCGAAGGCGAAUCUCUGGACAGUUACUGACACUGAGGCACGAAGGCCAGGGGAGCAAACGGG
rnacentral:rRNA from 1 species